GUGUGAAUUUGGCUGCAAGCCUAAAUAAAGGUUAACUAGUGGCUUUAAUUUCUCAGCUUUUUCCUCCUGUUAUCCAGAGCCUGUUAAGACAGGCAAGUUUCCUUUUUAUCCUCUUUAGGAGGGAAAUGGAGUAGCAGAAAUUCCUGUUUCAACUGUCGCUGAGGUCAAGAUGCUGUCCUUGGUGAGACCACUCAAGCAUGGAGAGACCAUGAAACUGAGGCCUCCAGCCAACAGCCAGAACUCGUGCCAAUUGCUUUCUACUUGUGGGAGCAGACCAAGGUCCCACAAGGAAGGAGUCAGUGACAACGGUUGGCUGGGAACAGACCGCCCAGAGACUACACGCCAGGCGGAGUCCUAUGGGCUUAAUUAAGACUAACUCAGUACGAGGAAAAAUGCAACCAUCCAAAGAUACUACGUGCCCACGCUGUGGCUAACAGAGGCCUUCUGGAACCUUUAGGAUGGAGAGUGAGGCAAGCAGCAGGGUCACAAAGCUGAUCAGCUGGCCAGAUGCUGCCUGUCCCCAGCACCUUUAAGUCCCUGACCUGUGUGGACAUCCCGGCACCUGUAGUUUAGUCACACCAAGUCCACUGGGGACCAAGCAGACCCAUGGCAUUUUAUUGGCCAAAGAUACAUUUGGCUUUCAGCAAAAUAUCAAUAUUCCAGGCACUGCAUCCAUGUUACAUUGUAUUUGUUUUUACCAAAAAAUAAAAAUAAAAUUUUAAAACA